rnacentral:rRNA from 1 species
GGGGUGCUCGAGUGGCGAACGGGUGAGUAACACGUGAGUAACCUGCCCUUGACUUUGGGAUAACUUCAGGAAACUGGGGCUAAUACCGGAUAGGAGCUCCUGCUGCAUGGUGGGGGUUGGAAAGUUUCGGCGGUCGGGGAUGGACUCGCGGCUUAUCAGCUUGUUGGUGGGGUAGUGGCUUACCAAGGCUUUGACGGGUAGCCGGCCUGAGAGGGUGACCGGCCACAUUGGGACUGAGAUACGGCCAG